GUCGUACGCUUCUUUUUCCCCGGAGCUUGCUCCACCGGAAAAAGAAGAGUGGCGAACGGGUGAGUAACACGUGGGUAACCUGCCCAUCAGAAGGGGAUAACACUUGGAAACAGGUGCUAAUACCGUAUAACAAUCGAAACCGCAUGGUUUUGAUUUGAAAGGCGCUUUCGGGUGUCGCUGAUGGAUGGACCCGCGGUGCAUUAGCUAGUUGGUGAGGUAACGGCUCACCAAGGCCACGAUGCAUAGCCGACCUGAGAGGGUGAUCGGCCACAUUGGGACUGAGACACGGCCCAAACUCAUACGGGAGGCAGCAGUAGGGAAUCUUCGGCAAUGGACGAAAGUCUGACCGAGCAACGCCGCGUGAGUGAAGAAGGUUUUCGGAUCGUAAAACUCUGUUGUUAGAGAAGAACAAGGAUGAGAGUAACUGUUCAUCCCUUGACGGUAUCUAACCAGAAAGCCACGGCUAACUACGUGCCAGCAGCCGCGGUAAUACGUAGGUGGCAAGCGUUGUCCGGAUUUAUUGGGCGUAAAGCGAGCGCAGGCGGUUUCUUAAGUCUGAUGUGAAAGCCCCCGGCUCAACCGGGGAGGGUCAUUGGAAACUGGGAGACUUGAGUGCAGAAGAGGAGAGUGGAAUUCCAUGUGUAGCGGUGAAAUGCGUAGAUAUAUGGAGGAACACCAGUGGCGAAGGCGGCUCUCUGGUCUGUAACUGACGCUGAGGCUCGAAAGCGUGGGGAGCAAACAGGAUUAGAUACCCUGGUAGUCCACGCCGUAAACGAUGAGUGCUAAGUGUUGGAGGGUUUCCGCCCUUCAGUGCUGCAGCUAACGCAUUAAGCACUCCGCCUGGGGAGUACGACCGCAAGGUUGAAACUCAAAGGAAUUGACGGGGGCCCGCACAAGCGGUGGAGCAUGUGGUUUAAUUCGAAGCAACGCGAAGAACCUUACCAGGUCUUGACAUCCUUUGACCACUCUAGAGAUAGAGCUUCCCCUUCGGGGGCAAAGUGACAGGUGGUGCAUGGUUGUCGUCAGCUCGUGUCGUGAGAUGUUGGGUUAAGUCCCGCAACGAGCGCAACCCUUAUUGUUAGUUGCCAUCAUUCAGUUGGGCACUCUAGCAAGACUGCCGGUGACAAACCGGAGGAAGGUGGGGAUGACGUCAAAUCAUCAUGCCCCUUAUGACCUGGGCUACACACGUGCUACAAUGGGAAGUACAACGAGUCGCGAAGUCGCGAGGCUAAGCUAAUCUCUUAAAGCUUCUCUCAGUUCGGAUUGUAGGCUGCAACUCGCCUACAUGAAGCCGGAAUCGCUAGUAAUCGCGGAUCAGCACGCCGCGGUGAAUACGUUCCCGGGCCUUGUACACACCGCCCGUCACACCACGAGAGUUUGUAACACCCGAAGUCGGUGAGGUAACCUUUGA
rnacentral:rRNA from 1 species